GAAAGACUGCCACCUUUAUCCUAUUAUGUUCGUGCAGUCUGUACUUUGAGAAGAUUCUCACCUUCUUUUGGGUCAAUAAGUGUUGACAGUGUCAAAAUCGUUACAAAAGUGAGCCCUUAAUGAGCUUCAAGUUGAUUUUUUUUUUCAGGACCUAGAUGACAUUUGCAGAGCCUACAGCAUAGUGAAGACAGAAUGAUUUCUGGCCGUCUCUCUGAGGUGAAAUAGCUUUGCAACUCAAAAUACUCCUUUGUAUGCUCAAAUGAGAUGGCAGUCCUUGAGAUACUGGUAAACUGCUUGGUCAGAAGAGCUGACUUGCCUCCAAAGUUUAUUGUGACCCCAGGUUCCUCGAAGAGGUCAGUAAGGGCUUUUCCAUCUUUGCAGUGCACAGUAAGAAGCAGCUUCCAUCUACACAGAUACUGCUCUGUGCUUCCCAGACUUACAAUGUGCGGGAACUGGUCCACAGCUUCUCGCAGCAUCUCAUUGCACCACGGAGACAGAAAACUCUUAAUGGUCCUUUUCAAGGUACAAUAA
rnacentral:lncRNA from 1 species